rnacentral:rRNA from 1 species
AUGUGGGGGCGAAUGUGGAGCUCCGGACGCGGCUCCGGCAGCAGAUCCGGCCGUGAGAGGGACCCGGAGUGCGAGCGGCGCGUCCGGUCCGACGGCACGAGGAAGCGCGGCGCCCGGAAGUGGACCAACCACGGGAUGUCGCCGCCGGCGAGCUUCAACCGCCGCGAGACGGAGGAGUACGACCGCCGGCGCGCGUCCUUCUCCUCCGCGAGGUCUUCCUACGCCGGAUCCUCCUCGUCCUCCGCCGCGGGCUUCCUCCCCGUGAAGAGGGAGUGGUCGGACGAGGAGGAGGAGCCGGAGCUGCCGGCGCCGUUCGCCUUCAUCCCGGGGAAGGAGGAGCCCGCUCCGCUCGGCCGCCGCGGAGUCGUCGGGCCCGAGGACUACGUCGCGGACUUCGACGCCAUCGCCGCCGCCAUCGCCGAGCGGAGCGUGCGCGAGGAGGAGGAGCGUCGGCGCCACGCCGAGGAGCUCGAAGCCCUCGAGUGGCGGCUGGCGAUCGCCGACAACGUCGCCGCCAACGAGAAGGCUGACGAGUGGUGCCGCAUCUGUGCGGAGCAGGCGGAGAAGUACGUCGAUCUGUGCAGCUCCGGCGAGGAGGAUUGA